CCUACGGGGUGCUGCAGUGGGGAAUAUUGCACAAUGGGGGAAACCCUGAUGCAGCGACGCCGCGUGAGCGAUGAAGGAUUUCUGGAUGUAAAGCUCUAUCAGCAGGGAAGAAAAUGACGGUACCUGACUAAGAAGCCCCGUCUAACUACGUGCCAGCAGCCGCGGUAAUACGUAGGGGGCAAGCGUUAUCCGGAUUUACUGGGCGUAAAGGGAGCGUAGACGGUCCUGCAAGCCAGAUGUGAAAGAGCGGGGCUCAACCCCCGGAGUGCAUUUGGAACUGUAAGGCUAGAGUGUCGGAGAGGCAGGCGGAAUGCGUAGUGUAGCGGUGAAAUGCAUAGAUAUUAGGCAGAACACCAGUGGCGAAGGCAGCAUGCUGGAGGCCGACUGACGUUGAAGCACGAAAGCGUGGGGAGCGAACAGGAUUAGAUACCCCAGUAGUC
rnacentral:rRNA from 1 species